ACGGGAAGAGCCCAAACCAACAAGCUUGCUUGUUGGGGUUGUAGGACACUCUAUACGGAGUUACAAAGGACGACAUUAGACGAAUCAUCUGGAAAGAUGAAUCAAAGAAGGUAAUAAUCCUGUAGUCGAAAAUGUUGUCUCUCUUGAGUGGAUCCUGAGUACGACGGAGCACGUGAAAUUCCGUCGGAAUCUGGGAGGACCAUCUCCUAAGGCUAAAUACUCUCUAGUGACCGAUAGUGAACCAGUACCGUGAGGGAAAGGUGAAAAGCACCCCGGAAGGGGAGUGAAAUAGAACCUGAAACCGUGUGCUUACAAGUAGUCAGAGCCCGUUAAUGGGUGAUGGCGUGCCUUUUGUAGAAUGAACCGGCGAGUUACGAUUUGAUGCAAGGUUAAGCAGUAAAUGUGGAGCCGUAGCGAAAGCGAGUCUGAAUAGGGCGUUUAGUAUUUGGUCGUAGACCCGAAACCAGGUGAUCUACCCUUGGUCAGGUUGAAGUUCAGGUAACACUGAAUGGAGGACCGAA
rnacentral:rRNA from 1 species